rnacentral:misc_RNA from 1 species
GAUUUUUUCAACUUUUAUACCACCCACAAUAAUUUACUAAGAUCUCGAAAAAUACUAAAACAAGAUCAGUCAAUGAUGAAUGUAAUAGGUUGUCGUGUGAACGAAGUGAUUCCAGCUACUGUUUUCUACUCUUUCCUUUCUUUGCCUUUUCCUUUUCCUGCAUUUUCUUUCUCUUUGCUUCUGCUGAUAUCCAUGUGUAGUCUUGAGGGACUACAAAGGGAUCUUGAACGUUUUCGAUCCUGUUACUUGGACUGCCUGUAGAAGAAACAGGGCGUUGAUAUGGAGCUUUUAUCCAUUGAAACCAUGAUGAACUUGAAGGCUGUGCCCCUGAGGGACUCUCCCUGCCUGAAGCAGUAGGGCUCGAAGGAGGAGUUGCAAACUCAUCUAGUGGCUGCAAUUCUUCAAACUUAGUGAAUGUCACCAAUACUCUUAUCGUUGGAACAACCGGAAUUGCUACCUUAACUGGGAAGGUUCCUUUUGGAAGUUUUGUUGUGAGCAUUUCCCUCAACCGCCGGAUAGCUUUAACUUUGUUAGCUAAAAUGUCAAGCAAAGGAAGGAGCUCUUCGGUUCUCAACGGGAAAUCUGGAGAAAGCCAAAGAACAGGCCUCAGUCCUUUCUUAUACUCAUUUUCUCGGCUUCCAUCUUUGCGGCGAUUUCCAUUUUCAGCAUUGCUAGAUGUAGAAGCCUUCGCAUCUCUUCCUUGUCUAAGCUCGUCCCUCGUCACCCUUACAUCCACAGAAUGCCUCCCUGGCCUAGUUUCAUUCAAAGGUGAAGAACCCUCAAGAUAAUUGCCAACCUUCUCCUCGACACAUAUGGAACUUCUUGGUGGAACAACUCGUUUCUCCCCUUCUGGCUUAAUAUCCCG